rnacentral:rRNA from 1 species
CCUACGGGUGGCAGCAGUGGGGAAUAUUGCACAAUGGGGGAAACCCUGAUGCAGCGACGCCGCGUGAGUGAAGAAGGAAUUCGGUACGUAAAGCUCUAUCAGCAGGGAAGAAAAUGACGGUACCGGAGGAAGAAGCCCCGGCGAACUACGUGCCAGCAGCCGCGGUAAGACGUAGGGGGCAAGCGUUAUCCGGAUUUACUGGGUGUAAAGGGAGCGUAGACGGGGCGCCAAGGCUGGAGGGAAAUGCCGCUGCUUAACGGCGGAACUGCUUUGGAAACUGGCGAACUAGAGUGCGGGAGUGGUAAGCGGAAUUCCUCGUGUAGCGGUGAAAUGCGUAGAUAUUAGGCGGAACACCGGUGGCGAAGGCGGCUUACUGGACCGUAACUGACGUUGAGGCUCGAAAGCGUGGGGAGCAAACAGGAUUAGAUACCCUUGUAGUC